AUAUAUAUAUAUAUAUAUAUAUAUGCUACUGGCUAUAGGGUUUUACGGAGAAUACGUAAAAAAUCUACGAACAGUACUUCAGGACCCUCAACCUUUCGAUCCUUACCUGCCAUCCUAGACAUUCUCAACUGAACUACCUUGUUACUGCUGCCCACUAAAAUCAUCACCCAAAUUAUGAACGACAGAAUGCAGAAUGAGCGAACACGAGGGAAAAAAGACGCAGGUAAUUGAAUGCCGUUUGGACCGUCUUCAUAUUACUUCAUGCUCUGAGGUGGAAUGUUUUAGUCUCUUGGCUGACUGGAUCUGUUCUUGAACGGAGCGUUAACUUUUCCUUCAGUUAAUCACUCAUUAAAGCCAGUAUUCCAAUUAUAACACUCAAAUUAAGUAAAAAUAUGAUCAUUAUUAAUGCUCGUGCUACAAGUUCAACUAAUCCCUCACAAUAAAUCUGAUAUGCAAAUUAGAUAUAAGAAAAUACGAUUAACGCGAGGCUGCAAAUUCAGGGAGAGAGGUAUUUAAGCCCACAGUACACAAGGUAACUUAGGUAUUAUUAAAACAGUUCAUCCUCAGGGUUCGAAGCAAUUCCUUCCCUUAAACGGACACUUACUCUGUCAUUUCUGCGGUAGUAUUUAAGGCCAGCUUCACAGUUCGACAUGGGGGAAGGGGGGUUUGUAAGCUUCCAGAUCAAUACCAGAGACUUUAAAAAUUCCUUGUAGAGUGUUUCGUCUUCAUGUUUAAGAAAUUGAGGAAACUAUUCAGGAAACUUUUUGUGUAUGUGGUGUUGCAUGGAAAACCUAAACACUAUGGAUUGUAUGGGAUUGCAGAGUUUGGUUUGGGCUGUUACAAAGACCCCAUGUUGGGCUGCGGAAUUAGCUCUUAGACCGGCAUUUACGGUAGUGUAUUGUAGGGACUGUCUGUUUUGGACACUAAGGUCGAUAUUAUAAGACACCUUGGCUUCUCACAUUACCUAUUUCUAAAGGUCAAAGAGAGGGCCAAUCGGGUUCUAAUGAGUGUUUCUUUAGGUUCACGGCACAGAGGAAGGGUCAAACUGCCACCAGGGCAAUAAAACUACUCCUGGAAAUGUACCAAACUCCUAUGAAAGCCUUGUCAAAUAUGUGUUCUUGGACGACGAAAUGUUUAGUAAUACGGCCCUAAGACCCUUUGAAAACUUUCCUGGGAUAAAAUAACAAGCAGCAUGGACAGUAGUAUGAGAGAGAGAGAGAGACAGAGAGAGAGAGAGAGAGAGAGAGAGAGAGAGAGAGAGAGAGAGAGAGAGAGAGAGAGAGAGAGAGAGAGAGAGAGAGAGAGAGAGAGAGAGAGAGAGAGAGAGAGAGAGAGAGAGAGAGAGUGUGAGUGUGUGUGUGUGUGUGCCCGACCACAGUGAGCUGCAUGGUAUAUCAGCACACGGUAUCCUUCACUCACGCUCCAUUGAACACCUAACACCACAAAACAUUACCCGAAAAUUCCAAAAUGACGUAGCAAUACAAUUAUCAAAGUCAUGUCGCAGGGGAUCCAAAAGGAGAUUAUCUACUUUUUACAUAUAUUGUAUGAUACAGUUCUGCAUAAACUUUUGAAUAAUAUACUAACAAAUAAAAUAAAAUAAUGAUAAUGAACAACACUAUGCAACGUUCAUUGGCAUAUCGGUGUGUCAAAAAUACCUGUACAUCACUUGACCUUCCAGUCCUUUAUGACGAUAUGCACCAACGGAGAGAGAGAGAGAGAGAGAGAGAGAGAGAGAGAGAGAGAGAGAGAGAGAGAGAGAGAGAGAGAGAGAGAGAGAGAGAGAGAGAGAGAGAGAGAGAGAGAGAGAGAGAGAGAGAGAGAGAGAGAGAGAGAGAGAGAGAGAGAGAGAAGGGGGGGGGGGGGGCAGGGACACGGGGAAAAAGAGAGACGGACAGACAGACAUACAGACAGAAAAAAAAAAAAAAACAGCCGGAUACAGCACAUAACAUCUCGUGUCAGUCACGGCAUUAACAACAGUUCAGCAGCAGGAACAGGAGGAGCCUCCCCCGGGUGCUGCCUUCCAGGGGGUUACUGAGGCCGCAUGAAGGAGGCAGGGCGGGGAGCGGCACAAGACGGACAUGUUGUGCUGGAAAUCUGCAUCUAAAAAUCUUCCUCCCGACACUGAACACGUCCUGCUUGAGCCUUUCUUCAGAACAUAUCUUGACAUUAUUUCGUGCAUGCUCAAACUAAAUUCUUGCUAACGUAUGGUCAAUUUUGCCAUUAAUAUCUAACUAAAUGAGCUCAUAUCUUUGUGAUUACCAACGAAUAGGGUUGUUGUUGCUAUUUUGCCAUUAUGCAUUACAAAGUUUAUUUAAAAGUAUUUACCUUCGUGAAAGUUUAAUUGUGGGGAAUAAUUGGAAACUUAAUAUAACGACUAGGCCCAGGCUUUAGUUGUGGGGAUUAGGUGUAAACUUAAUGUAAGGAUUAGGCCCAGGCUUUAAUUGUGGGGAAUAGGUGUAAACUUAAUGUAACGAUUAGGCCCAGGCUGUAACAAGGGAUGACGGAACUUUAAACACAGAGGUAUUCCAACGCACACCCUUACAAUAAUAACUGAGUAUAUAUACACGUGCAAAAAAUGUAGGCAUCAUUAAGAGAAGCGAGCGGCGCAACAGGCUGCCUGGUGAUGCUGCACGAACACAAACUGUCUCGGUAUUCUUUAUUCACCUAAGAGUUUCCACACAAGUACUUUGACUAGAAAAUAUCUGAUUAACUUCAUUAGCAAAAGCUGCGUCGGAUACUUAUUUUCCUUGUCUGAGAAUCAACAAAGAUUACACUUGAG